rnacentral:tRNA from 1 species
ACCUGGCUGGCUCAGUCGGUACAGCCUGGGACUCCUGAUCUCAGGGUGUGAGUUCAAGUGUCAUGUUGGGUA